AGUGAACGCUGGCGGUAGGCCUAACACAUGCAAGUCGAACGGCAGCACAGUAAGAGCUUGCUCUUACGGGUGGCGAGUGGCGGACGGGUGAGGAAUACAUCGGAAUCUACUUUUUCGUGGGGGAUAACGUAGGGAAACUUACGCUAAUACCGCAUACGACCUACGGGUGAAAGCAGGGGAUCUUCGGACCUUGCGCGAUUGAAUAAGCCGAUGUCGGAUUAGCUAGUUGGCGGGGUAAAGGCCCACCAAGGCGACGAUCCGUAGCUGGUCUGAGAGGAUGAUCAGCCACACUGGAACUGAGACACGGUCCAGACUCCUACGGGAGGCAGCAGUGGGGAAUAUUGGACAAUGGGCGCAAGCAUGAUCCAGCCAUACCGCGUGGGUGAAGAAGGCCUUCGGGUUGUAAAGCCCUUUUGUUGGGAAAGAAAAGCAGCAGGUUAAUACCCCGCUGUUCUGACGGUACCCAAAGAAUAAGCACCGGCUAACUUCGUG
rnacentral:rRNA from 1 species